UGGGGAAUAUUGGACAAUGGGCGCAAGCCUGAUCCAGCCAUGCCGCGUGUGUGAAGAAGGCCUUUUGGUUGUAAAGCACUUUAAGCGAGGAGGAGGCUACUGAGAUUAAUACUCUUGGAUAGUGGACGUUACUCGCAGAAUAAGCACCGGCUAACUCUGUGCCAGCAGCCGCGGUAAUACAGAGGGUGCGAGCGUUAAUCGGAUUCACUGGGCGUAAAGCGUGCGUAGGCGGCUUCUUAAGUCGGAUGUGAAAUCCCUGAGCUUAACUUAGGAAUUGCAUUCGAUACUGGGAAGCUAGAGUAUGGGAGAGGAUGGUAGAAUUCCAGGUGUAGCGGUGAAAUGCGUAGAGAUCUGGAGGAAUACCGAUGGCGAAGGCAGCCAUCUGGCCUAAUACUGACGCUGAGGUACGAAAGCAUGGGGAGCAAACAGG
rnacentral:rRNA from 1 species